AUGGUGGUUUUGUCAGCCGGGAGUCCGAUUUGGUGCGCGGCCCCUUGGGGUGAUUUGAUUCGAUUGUGUUCGAUCUCUCGGGAGCGUGUUUGGUCGUCGCCGUCGCCGCUAGGUUGUUACUUGUUAGGUUAUUCACGUUCUUGGCGAUGCGCACGUAAAAUUAUUUGGUGUUGUAUAGGCAAGAUUAUUCGCUUGUUUGUCGCAUGCUUACAUGUGAGUAUAUUAUCUGAGAAUUACGAGGAUCAGUCGUCCAGUCUCGUGUAUUCAUGUGAGGUUCGAGGUUUAUAUGAUCUCCGAGAUGCCCGAAUCGAUGCGGGGAUUCGACAGCAGUGGCAAUUGUGUACUAGUGAGCUACUAUUUCUUUUCUCACAAGCUGGGCUUUGUAGUUGCUGUUUACUUUGA
rnacentral:rRNA from 1 species